rnacentral:lncRNA from 1 species
GCGGGGCACUUAGACAAACCCCACAGCCCUACUGCCCAUCAGCAGUUACUUUACAAGUGCUUCCAAUGCCCCAUGAUCACCACCAUGCUGUGUUUUGCAGUAAAGUGGCUGUGGAAGGAAGGCCACGGUCAACCAGGGAGGUUGUCCUCGAGAUCUGCCUCUUCAACAUUUUGAAAAGAAGAGACUGUUAUUAGGAGGGAAAGCACCAUCAUGACCUUCACCUAAGCACCUCUGAAUAUCCACAGUCAACCAUUCACCCUCUGCAAGGGGCAAUCCUAUUAAGCCUCAUUGCCUAGCACAGAUGCACGUCCUCCAAGCCAAGAACAAAUGACUUGCAAUUUAGUCUUGUUUUUCUUUUUUUUUACUUCUCUGAUCUGAAGCAUUUAAGGAAGGCCAGCAUCAUGCUCUUGGACUUCCCAGCUUCCAGAUCUAUGAGAAAGAAAUUUCCUGUCUUUAUCAACUAUCCAGCCUGUGAUAGCUUGUUGUAGCAGCAGAAAAGGGACUAAGACAACCUUGGACCUUGGAUGAUAAUGAUGUGUCAAUGUAGGCUCAUCACUCAUGACAAACAUCAUGGUAUCAGCAGGGCCAUGUUCCCACCAGAAGCUCUGGGGACCGAUACUUUCUGGCCUCUUCCAGCAUCCAGUGGCUCCCAGGGUUCCUGGGCUUGUAGCUGCGUCACUGCAGUCUGCCUCCAUGGCUGCAGGAGCUUGUUUUUGGUGUGCCAUCUCCUCUUCUCAUAAGGACUCCAGAUUUACAGUCCAUGCCAAUGCCAUUUGACCUCAUCUUAACUAACUACAUCUGCAAAGACCCUGUUUUGAAACAAAGUCACAUUCUAACAUUUCACAGUCAGGAACAGAGAGGGGGAGUGGAGGGGAGAGACGGCAGAGAGUGGAGGAAACACAGUUCAACCCACCCACCAGGGCAUCACCCAGAGUUGACUCUUCCUAUCAUCAAGGCCCCUUCGAGGCAGGCAACUCCUGUCGCUCCAUGUCUUGUGUGGGAUGCAGCACCUUCUGCUGGGGCUCCCAGUGGCCUUCUGUCAUCUCCCAAGGAGCACCCAGAGCCAUCCCUCUCUACAUCUUCAACCCUCCAUGCAGACUUUCUGGGAAGCCAAAUCCA